rnacentral:rRNA from 1 species
CGGACGGGUGAGUAAUGUCUGGGAAACUGCCCGAUGGAGGGGAUAACUACUGGAAACGGUAGCUAAUACCGCAUAACGUCGCAAGACCAAAGAGGGGACCUUCGGGCCUCUUGCCAUCGGAUGUGCCCAGAUGGGAUUAGCUAGUAGGUGGGGUAACGGCUCACCUAGGCGACGAUCCCUAGCUGGUCUGAGAGGAUGACCAGCCACACUGGAACUGAGACACGGUCCAG